rnacentral:rRNA from 1 species
UACGUAGGGGGCAAGCGUUGUCCGGAUUUAUUGGGCGUAAAGAGCGUGUAGGCGGCCGCACAGGUCCGUUGUGAAAACUGGAGGCUUAACCUUCAGACGUCGAUGGAAACCGUGCGGCUAGAGUCCGGAAGAGGAGAAUGGAAUUCCUGGUGUAGCGGUGAAAUGCGCAGAUAUCAGGAGGAACACCAAUGGCGAAGGCGGCUCUCUGGUCCACAACUGACGCUGAGGUGCGAAAGCUAGGGGAGCAAACGGG